ACCAGACUCCUACGGGAGGCAGCAGUGGGGAAUAUUGGGCAAUGGGCGCAAGUCUGACCCAGCAACGCCGCGUGAAGGAAGAAGGCUUUCGGGUUGUAAACUUCUUUUCUCAGGGACGAAGAAAGUGACGGUACCUGAGGAAUAAGCCACGGCUAACUACGUGCCAGCAGCCGCGGUAAUACGUAGGUGGCAAGCGUUAUCCGGAUUUAUUGGGUGUAAAGGGCGUGUAGGCGGGAACGCAAGUCAGAUGUGAAAACUCAGGGCUCAACCCUGAGCCUGCAUUUGAAACUGUGUUUCUUGAGUGCUGGAGAGGCAAUCGGAAUUCCGUGUGUAGCGGUGAAAUGCGUAGAUAUUAGGAGGAACACCAGUGGCGAAGGCGGUCUGCUGGACAGCAACUGACGGUGAGGCGCGAAAGCGUGGGGAGCAAACAGGAUUAGAUACCCUUGUACAG
rnacentral:rRNA from 1 species